rfam:Schistosoma haematobium scaffold262_2, whole genome shotgun sequence.
GCACUGCUGAGGAGUCCCAUAAUAGGACGAAACAGUCUUCCAAUGC